UUCCCACCUGACGUUGAUAAAGAUGAUCUACCUCUUGACCUGCUCCUUGAUGCUUGUUUGGAUCCGUUCGUGGAUCCUUAGAUUGUUGAGUAAACAAGUGCACCUUACUUUAAAGGACAAUUAUUUUGUAAAUUAUAGAAGUAGCUUAAACGUCAUUUUGUAAAUAUCUGGAUAGCUAACUUCAAUACCUCAUAUGUGUUAUUAUAAUUUUCAUAGGGGAUGAAUGUAAUU
rnacentral:lncRNA from 1 species